AGCCAGCUGACGUGUCCUAAAUGGGACGAAACGCGCGUUCUCUAU
rnacentral:hammerhead_ribozyme from 1 species